CGGCUCAGUAACACGUGGAUAACCUACCCUUGAGACGGGGAUAAACCCGGGAAACUGGGUAUAAUACCCGAUAGAUCUCGACUGCUGGAAUGCAUCGAGCUUGAAAGCUUCGGCGCUCAAGGAUGGGUCUGCGGCCUAUCAGGUAGUAGUGGGUGUAGCGUACCUACUAGCCUACGACGGGUACGGGUUGUGAGAGCAAGAGCCCGGAGAUGGAUUCUGAGACACGAAUCCAGGCCCUACGGGGUGCAGCAGGCGCGAAAACUUUACAAUGCUGGAAACAGCGAUAAGGGGACCUCGAGUGCCAGGUUACAAAUCUGGCUGUCGUGAUGCCUAAAAAGCAUUGCAUAGCAAGGGCCGGGCAAGACCGGUGCCAGCCGCCGCGGUAACACCGGCGGCUCGAGUGGUAACCGUUAUUAUUGGGUCUAAAGGGUCUGUAGCCGGCCGGAUAAGUCUCUUGGGAAAUCUGGCAGCUUAACUGUCAGGCUUUCAGGAGAUACUGUCUGGCUCGAGGCCGGGAGAGGUGAGAGGUACUUCAGGGGUAGGGGUGAAAUCUUGUAAUCCUUGAAGGACCACCAGUGGCGAAGGCGUCUCACCAGAACGGACCUGACGGCAAGGGA
rnacentral:rRNA from 1 species